AUUGAACGCUGGCGGCAUGCUUUACACAUGCAAGUCGAACGGCAGCGCGGGCUUCGGCCUGGCGGCGAGUAGCGAACGGGUGAGUAAUACAUCGGAACGUGCCCAGUAGUGGGGGAUAGCUCGGCGAAAGCCGGAUUAAUACCGCAUACGACCUGAGGGUGAAAGCGGGGGAUCUUCGGACCUCGCGCUAUUGGAGCGGCCGAUGGCAGAUUAGCUAGUUGGUGGGGUAAAGGCCUACCAAGGCGACGAUCUGUAGCUGGUCUGAGAGGACGACCAGCCACACUGGGACUGAGACACGGCCCAGACUCCUACGGGAGGCAGCAGUGGGGAAUUUUGGACAAUGGGCGAAAGCCUGAUCCAGCAAUGCCGCGUGUGUGAUGAAGGCCUUCGGGUUGUAAAGCACUUUUGGCGGGAACGAAAAGGACCGUGCCAAUACCACGGUUCGAUGACGGUACCCGCAGAAUAAGCACCGGCUAACUACGUG
rnacentral:rRNA from 1 species